rnacentral:tRNA from 1 species
UCCUGGUUAGCUCAAUCGGUAGAGAUCUUCACUGGAAAUGGAGAGGUCCCUGGUUCGAUACCAGGACCUGGCG